GUUGUGAGGUUAAGCGACUAAGCGUACACGGUGGAUGCCCUGGCAGUCAGAGGCGAUGAAGGACGUGCUAAUCUGCGAUAAGCGUCGGUAAGGUGAUAUGAACCGUUAUAACCGGCGAUACCCGAAUGGGGAAACCCAGUGUGACUCGUCACACUAUCAUUAACUGAAUCCAUAGGUUAAUGAGGCGAACCGGGGGAACUGAAACAUCUAAGUACCCCGAGGAAAAGAAAUCAACCGAGAUUCCCCCAGUAGCGGCGAGCGAACGGGGAGGAGCCCAGAGCCUGAAUCAGCAUGUGUGUUAGUGGAAGCGUCUGGAAAGGCGCGCGAUACAGGGUGACAGCCCCGUACACAAAAGCGCAUGUGCUGUGAGCUCGAUGAGUAGGGCGGGACACGUGGUAUCCUGUCUGAAUAUGGGGGGACCAUCCUCCAAGGCUAAAUACUCCUGACUGACCGAUAGUGAACCAGUACCGUGAGGGAAAGGCGAAAAGAACCCCGGCGAGGGGAGUGAAAAAGAACCUGAAACCGUGUACGUACAAGCAGUGGGAGC
rnacentral:rRNA from 1 species